GUGCCAGCCGCCGCGGUAAUACCGGCAGCUCGAGUGAUGGCCGAUCUUAUUGGGCCUAAAGCGUCCGUAGCCGGCCAGACAGGUCCGUCGGGAAAUCCACCCGCUCAACGGGUGGGCGUCCGGCGGAAACCCUCUGGCUUGGGACCAGAAGACCCGAGGGGUACGUCCGGGGUAGGAGUGAAAUCCCGUAAUCCUGGACGGACCACCGAUAGCGAAAGCACCUCGGGAAGAUGGAUCCGACGGUGAGGGACGAAAGCUGGGGUCUCGAACCGGAUUAGAAACCCGUGUAGUCC
rnacentral:rRNA from 1 species